UGCGUAGGCGGAAUAUUAAGUCAGUGGUGAAAUCCUGCGGCUCAACCGUAGAACUGCCAUUGAUACUGAUAUUCUUGAAUGUAGUUGAGGUAGGUGGAAUGUGUAAUGUAGCGGUGAAAUGCUUAGAUAUUACACAGAACACCGAUUGCGAAGGCAGCUUACUAAACUAUGAUUGACGCUGAGGCACGAAAGCGGGGGGAGCGAACAGGAUUAGAUACCCUGGUAGUCC
rnacentral:rRNA from 1 species